UACGUAGGGGGCUAGCGUUGUCCGGAAUCAUUGGGCGUAAAGAGCGUGUAGGCGGCCAGGUAGGUCUGCUGUGAAAACUCGAGGCUCAACCUCGAGACGUCGGCGGAAACCAUCAGGCUAGAGUCCGGAAGAGGAGAGUGGAAUUCCUGGUGUAGCGGUGAAAUGCGCAGAUAUCAGGAAGAACACCCGUGGCGAAGGCGGCUCUCUGGGACGGUACUGACGCUGAGGAGCGAAAGCGUGGGGAGCGAACAGG
rnacentral:rRNA from 1 species